rnacentral:rRNA from 1 species
ACGUAGGGGGCAAGCGUUGUUCGGAAUUACUGGGCGUAAAGGGCAUGUAGGCGGUUUAGUAAGCUUGGCGUGAAAGACCACAGCUCAACUGUGGGGUUGCGUUGAGAACUGCUGAACUUGAGGUACGGAGAGGGAGCUAGAAUUCCUGGUGUAGGAGUGAAAUCUGGAGAGACCAGGAGGAAUACCGAUGGCGAAGGCAUGCUUCUGGCCGAUAACUGACGCUGAGGUGCGAAAGUGUGGGGAGCAAACAG